GAUGAAGAACGUAGCGAAAUGCGAUAAGUAAUGUGAAUUGCAGAAUUCAGUGAAUCAUCGAAUCUUUGAACGCACAUUGCGCCCGUCAGUAUUCUGGCGGGCAUGCCUGUUCGAGCGUCAUUACGCCCCUCAAGUCCCCUGUGGACUUGGUGUUGGGGAUCGGCGAGGCUGGUUUUCCAGCACAGCCGUCCCUUAAAUUAAUUGGCGGUCUCGCCGUGGCCCUCCUCUGCGCAGUAGUAAAACACUCGCAACAGGAGCCCGGCGCGGUCCACUGCCGUAAAACCCCCCGACCACGGAGCCCCGGCUCCUGAACGUUGACCUCGGAUCAGGUAGGAAUACCCGCUGAACUUAAGCAUAUCAAUAAGCGGAGGA
rnacentral:misc_RNA from 1 species